UGGGGGACGCGGCCGAGCGGAAACGCUGCACAGAGGAGCCUCAGCGAACCAAGAAAAAAGAGAAAGUGGCAACGAAAACAAGGGCAAAUUGAACCCUCCUCGGGGAUUUCCAGUGAACUAACCCGACUCGGACAUUCAAUAAAUACAUCGUCCCUAAUGAGUGUGCGUGCGCGUGCACCCCGCACCCGGCCGCCCUGGACGCAGACGCGGAGCCGCCGUGGUGCUGGGGGCUGCCCUUCUCCGGCGAAUAAUUCCUCUGCCGCGCGCAGUCAGUUUCGGUGGCGGGGGUGGGGGCUUGGUUAGGUCCGGAGCUCCCCAGCUUAGCCGCAGCCUUGAAGCCCUUGCGAGGUCUCGUGAUGAAUGGUGGGCGCGGAGCACUUGUGUGUGAUGUGGUCCCUCUCCUGUGUGCAGGGGGAGAGAUGCCCUCCUAGGUGGGUUUUAGCGGAUCCAUUAUUGCGAAGAUAUAGACCUGAAGGGCAGUGGUAACCAAACCCCAGACAGAACGGAUUUUUACCUCUGCGUCCCCUUAAGGUUCCCUUUCCUAUUUAUGUAUGCGUGUAUGUAUAUAUGGAAGAUGGAACACAGAUUUCAUUCAAUAAAUCUGAGAUCUCCAGGUGCAGGCGUUUGAAUAGUCGGUGCCAGCACCCCGUGUUUUCUUUUCCUGCCGAUUUUGCUUGGAUCCGACUCAAAAACCGAGAGAGUCUCGUGGUUUUGUUUACACUGAAUGGGGAGGGUAGGAACAGAGCCAUGGGGCCCCUUUCAUUAAUAUACAGUGAGGAUUUUGUCUAAAUUACCGCUAUGAAUUUCACAGUACACGCUUUCAAAAGCAGUCUCAGGUGGCCUGAUGAAACGGGAGAGCGCCUCCGCAAACACAUCCACUUUCUUUCUUUUCAAGGAGGGUGUGUGCGCGUAUGGGAAGCCCCCCAAAACGCCGUGCUCCUCGAAAUCAGAAAUGCACUUCUGUUGCGAGCUGGGUCCCCUCGGUCCUCCGCCUCCGCGUACUUAGUUCUCCAGUCGCUCCCCAGCCCCACCCAUCCGCCCCCUCCCUCUGCCGAGUGUGAUUGUUUUGUCUGGAAAAAAAAAAAAAAUCCAAAGUAUAUAACAAGGGGAGAACAGUUAGUGCUGACUUUCAUUUGCAUACAUUUUCAUAUAUUUUGGUGAAAAUAAUAGACGAGUGGAGAGCCGGGCUUAGAGGAGUCAGAGGAAAGAGAAGACUGAGGAGGUACCGCUUCUGGGGAGUUGAGAAUAUGUCUUUUCCCCCCACCAGUCCCUUAUUUAUUUUUUUUUUAAUAAAACCUCUUCCUUUAUUUUAAUAUCUAAUCCUGGAAGUUUGCUCGUGCUUUUCAAGUUUUAAUCGAAGAACAUCUUUGUGAUCAGAUUAACCAAAUAUUGACCCCCAAAAGGAAGCUAAGACUCAGAGAAGAUCGGUAGAGACCUUUCAAGCCUCUAAUAUGUCCCAGGAAAAGGCAGAAUUUACUGAAGCACCAACUUGAAUUCCUUUACCACACGCAUCACUCAGGUAUGUUUUUUUUGGAGUGCACAGGUGUGGCCAGGAUUUCCAAAGUCGAAGCUGUUUUUUUUUUUUUUCCCUUCCAAACUCUGCCCAGUAACCAGCAGGGGAAGCUAGAAGGAUCAGUCUGAAGGAAAGUGGCACAAUUACCCCAUGAAUCAGAAUGUUUUGGCAGAAUUGUGGCAAUUGGCAGGUUUCUCUUCAUGAGAUCACCCAUCUGCUCUGAUUCGGGUGUGAUGCUCAGGGCCUCUGGGGACAGUGGUCAGAGUGGGCUUUCUUUGGACGCGUUCCCAUUGCCCACUGAACUGAGGAGAUCAGGGUUCCCUCCUCGCUUUGGCUUACGUGGGAAGGAUGGCAUCUUGAACCCCUGCCCGCAGCCUGUGAUUUAACAAUCCUUUGUGAGGCCCCUGGGAUUUAUGUCUUUAAACACUGUUGCUGGUUGAGGUAAUGGUGGGGAGUAGAAGGAAUCUGGCCCAAAGCUAAAGCCCUAGAGCUUUACCCCACCCCCAAAUAUUAACAAAACAAGGAUGUUAUUAAAUUACCAAUCCUGGCCCCAAUUGAAUAGAUGCCAAGAAUUCCAUGCUCCCACCUCACAUUAUAUGUUUUAUUUUUCUUCUGGGGAUUUGUUUUCUGAAUCAGUUUACUUCUUUGUGGUCCAAUAAUCACCAAAUGGAAUUCUCCCCAUCUUUCAUCCUUCAUCAUUAGGACAAAAAUACAGUAUCAUUUUCUGGCAAGAAGUAAGUAUCUCAAAAUUAAAGACAAUAUUUUGUGACCAAAAAAAAAAAUCCCUCAAGAGCACUAUUUUUCUGAUGAAUCAGAACUGGAAGUGAUUAAGGGCUCAGCGCCUGAAAACAAUAUGCCCUCAUGCCCAUUACUCCAUUGUUGUUAGGACAUCAAACAUCCUCUUUUAAGUAAGUGAAGGGGGGUACUUAACAAAUUUUUUAAGUGAGCCAUAGAUAAGUGAGCCAUAGAUAAGUGCAUUGGCAUGGUUUGAGGAAAUGCAUAGAAGAAAUUAAAAAUAUUUGUUUUAUUGAGCUAAUAUUCCCUGCUGGAGAUUAGAGUAGCAAAUGGAGCCCACAGCUGUAAGAAAGAUACUAUUCAUCAAUUUAGUUUCUAUUUAUUUAGUCCCUAACUGUCAACUUGAACUUGAGUAGAAGUUUUAAAUUAUAACUUACUAAAUGCUUGUAAGAGUGUUCCUCAAAUACAGAAUCUCAGAUUGUAUUUUCAUAACAAAGUACUUAGUCUGAUUUUAUUUGAAUUGAAUUUUUUUUUAAGGCAUUCAGAAUUCAAAAUUUCUGAGAAUCUUUAGGCUGACUACGAUUUUGGUAUGUUGUAGAGAAUUAUGAUUUUAAGAUCGUGUAUUUUGAUCAUGGCAGUUUGGAAAAUUCCUGAUGCCAUUUAUAAUGUAUUUCAGAAGGAAACAUUUUUAAAGGCAUUGUUUAAAAAUCAGGGCUAACUGUUUUCAUUGCAGGCUGCUGCCUCUUAGCUGUUGGAAUCAGAGCAUACUUGUUGCAAGUGGCUACGGUGAGGAAAUGACCAGCUCGAAGCAGAUACUAAUUUUCCCUGCCCCCUCACCCCCACCCCAAUGAGCUGGCACAUGCUGGAGGUGGUGCAUGGCAGAGCUGCGCUGCUCCUAAGAGGUAUGUUUCUGAAGAGAACGGGAAAUGGGCACCGCUGCACACAGGUGUGGUCCUCUGUGGUCCCACCCGUCUUCCCAGAAAGUCCCUGGAGUAGCCACACCUAAGAAAGUGAUCCAAUCAAGAAAACAAAACAUUCCACCCUGCAUCAGGGUCAGCAGUUUAGGAGGUGACGGGAACUGAGUUCUGCGAUAUUGCUGUCGCCAGUGGUGACUUGCACAGAGGAGCCCCUGGAGCCCCUGAGAGCCACACCUGGCCCCUCGGACACCAAACUCAUGGCCGCCUAGCACUCAGAUGACGGGGGAGCUGUGCCUUCUUGGCAGGCAGGACCCUGCCAACAGGGACUGUGCACGGACUGGGAGAAGAAGUGGAGGACAGACUGUGAUGAUCUCUGACUUUCUGGAGGCUCAGCUGAACUGGGGAGAUGGAUGCUGCAUGAGAGACUAAGCUAACAGAGGAAAUGAUGCUCUGAAGGAAGUGGAAAUGGUGAACAUCAGGGCUGGACUGUUUUGGAUCUGAAGGCAAAGCAAGCACUUUCUGAGGAGAGCACCUUUAAACCAAAUUAACAAUUGUGGUGCUGGAGAAGACUCUUGAGAGUCACUUGGACUACAAGGAGAUCCAACCAGUCAAUCCUAAAAGAAGUCAAACGUGAACAUUCAGUGGAAGGGCCGAUGCUGAAGCUCCAAUACUUUGGUCACCUGAUGCAAAGAGCCAACUCAUUGGAAAAGAGCCUGAUACUGGGAAAGAUUGAAGGCAGGUGGAGUAGGGGACAACAGAGGAUGAGAAAGUUGGAUGGAAUCACUGACUCAAUGGAUAUGAGUUUGAGAAAACUCUGGGAGACGGUGAAGGACAGGAAAGGCUGGCGUGCUGCAGCGUAUGGGGUUGCAGAGUCAGAUGUGUUCAGUCAAAACUGAAGAACAAGAGCAACAACAAUGAAGAGACAGGACCAGCAGGUGGAGAAAGGCAGGAGGCACCUCAGCCUCUCCACAGAGACUGCAGAGCAGUGAGCCGGUCAGGAUGAGACGUCCAGCAGAUGGGAUGCUUCUCACUGCAACGUUGAGGGUGGUCCUUUUAACUCCAUCCGCCCAUUUGAAGGCCAGGCUUCUCCAGAAACACCCUCAACAGACACACCCCGAAAUACAUUUCACCAGCUCUCUGGGCCUCCCUUAGCCCCAUCAAGUUAACCCAUCAUACCAACCAUCACAAAUAACUGUGUGUGAAGGGUGAAAGCCCCAUGUCUCUGAAGCCAGUGGGUGUUCACAAGAGGAUUAUGGGAAGAGGGACAGAAGUGCCUGGAUGUACUGUUCAGAACUGGCAGGACCGGCCUCUAAAAGGAAGACUUAAAAUGAUGUUUUUGACAUCAACACUUUCCCCAAAGUUGAUACAUGUGGGAUCGUAGCUUACUGACCAGGGUUCGAACCCAGACCCCCUGCACUGGAAGGUAAAGUUUUAACCACUGGACCAGCAGAGAAGUGCUGCAGGAGUGUUUCUUGGACAAUAGGCUGUCCAGUUGCAAGCAGGCUGGGAAAAGCUGGUCAUGGUUCUGUGAUGCUGUUCUCCUGAUCACAUUCAUCGUUUGGGGUUGUGGGCGAGGCUGGAGGAAGGGG
ensembl:lncRNA